AUACGUAGGGUGCAAGCGUUAAUCGGAAUUACUGGGCGUAAAGCGUGCGCAGGCGGUUUUGUAAGACAGUGGUGAAAUCCCCGGGCUCAACCUGGGAACUGCCAUUGUGACUGCAAGGCUGGAGUGCGGCAGAGGGGGAUGGAAUUCCGCGUGUAGCAGUGAAAUGCGUAGAUAUGCGGAGGAACACCGAUGGCGAAGGCAAUCCCCUGGGCCUGCACUGACGCUCAUGCACGAAAGCGUGGGGAGCAAACAGGAUUAGAGACCCUGGUAGUCCACGCCCUAAACGAUGUCAACUGGUUGUUGGGGAUUUAUUUUCUCAGUAACGAAGCUAACGCGUGAAGUUGACCGCCUGGGGAGUACGGCCGCAAGGUUAAAACUCAAAGGAAUUGACGGGG
rnacentral:rRNA from 1 species